UCAGUUUACGAAUAUCCUGUCUCCCCGUGUCCGGUGCGUGUCAGUAAAACAGUUUCGACCACUCGCUGGAUGCCAUGUUUCGCCAGAUAUGCAUUAGGUUUAACCGAUAAGGUUUAUAACUUUUUUUUCGCAUCUGAUGAUGAAAUCGCCGUUAUUAGUGUGUGUCCGCGUCGCAGCGUGCGUAAUAUUAUCUGAGAUUUUUGUGAGAGUAGAUGGCGCUCACGGCGAACGCUCACAUGGCAGACCACGUAGAACACACCGACCAUCGACGACGGAGGAGCAGCAUGAGCAAGUGUCUGCUGAAAUGGUCGUCAACACAACGACGCCUCAUGCGUAUGAAUUGCUGCCAUUUCAAUUAGGGUUAACGAUCAUUUACAAUCCCGGUUCAAACCAGG